rnacentral:sRNA from 1 species
GAAGUUUAUACUUAAAAGCCGUCUACGAUUGUGAAAAAUGAGUUCACAAAUUUUUCUUCAUCUUUAAUUUUCAUUGCGCAAAUAUAAAAGCGAAUAAUUCGGCACGGAAAAUACGUUCCGAACCGUAUCACAUCACUUAUGUAAACAAUAUUCUACAAGAAUGACUCUUUUGAACUCUAAUUAAAACCAAAUUACAAAAA